rnacentral:rRNA from 1 species
UACGUAGGGUGCGAGCGUUGUCCGGAAUUACUGGGCGUAAAGGGCUUGUAGGUGGUUUGUCGCGUUGUUCGUGAAAACUCACAGCUUAACUGUGGGCGUGCGGGCGAUACGGGCAGACUGGAGUACUGCAGGGGAGACUGGAAUUCCUGGUGUAGCGGUGGAAUGCGCAGAUAUCAGGAGGAACACCGGUGGCGAAGGCGGGUCUCUGGGCCUUACCUGACGCUGAGGAGCGAAAGCAUGGGGAGCAAACAGG